GAUGAGUCUGCGGACCAUUAGGUAGUUGGUGGAUUAACAGCCCACCAAGCCAACGAUGGAUAGCUGGUCUGAGAGGAUGAUCAGCCACACUGGAACUGAGACACGGUCCAGACUCCUACGGGAGGCAGCAGUAAGGAAUAUUGCUCAAUGGGAGAAAUCCUGAAGCAGCAACGCCGCGUGAAGGAAGAAGGGUCUUCGACUUGUAAACUUCUGUAGAAGAGGAAAAUACUCCGAUAUACUCGGAAUUGAUUGUACUCUUAAAGUAAGCCCCGGCUAACUACGUG
rnacentral:rRNA from 1 species